CCGUUCCAGAAGCUUGUAACCUGCCUGCUGCAGUUUACCAUCGCAACAGUAGAAGUCUGCGAAUAAUAAGAAGAGUGCCCUAAACCAUCCCGAUCAGGGCAAAAUAUGAUCUUUUGUCUGCUAGAAUUUUAUAAAACCACUACACUUACAACACAAACAAGAAGCCAAGAACCAUCAUCAUCAUCGAUCGCGGCUUCCCAGCAGCCGAUCGAUGCCGAUUGCGCGCUUACUCUCGCGAUUGCGUGAUCUCCCAGCUAACCGUACGCACAUAAGGCACGUAUGCACUAGAUAUUGGGCAAUUUCAAAUCCGAAGGUCGAUCGUUGAAUGAUUACCCUAGCACAAAACACAACAUGCACACCCACCGAUUAUGUUUAUGCUCAUCAUCACAUCAACAUACCGGAUCGACAUCAACCAUGCCAGCAUCAAACUAAUUUCCCGAUGGGGAAAUCAAGUCGAGCAGCCACCCUGGCGACGCCCCGGUACUCACUCUCCAAUCUCUUAUCGGCCGACGCCAACUAGAGCCGUGAGUGAUAAAGCGAGGCGCGAUCGGUCAGGCAAUAUAGCCGGUCGUCGCCCGCGGAUCGUCAUCAGUCACUGGUUUAGCGUAUAGGAGACCGCGUCGAUCGUCAACCCGUCAACUUUUCCGCCGGACGAUCGACCUCAAGAAGAAGUUUAGUUCGAGGAAUUUCUGUGGUGAAAACCGUCUCACCAGUGAGGAAGAACAAGGAGUGGAAUAAUAACCGCACUGGAGUGCGAGGUGCCGCGACACCGUAAAUUGGUCGUGGUGGAGAGUGAGGUGGCGUCUACGAUCAGCAUGGAAAGCAUGGCCAUGCUGGAGUAGAUAGGAGUACUUGAGAUCGGCCUUCAUUUCCUGUUUCACAAACUGUAUUCCAUCAUGGCUGGAGCCGUGGUGUGGAGCAGUGCGCUGCUGUGCAUUCCUGCCGACUGGACGGCGGGGCUAAUGCACCGGAUGGCCGGCGUUCUCGCCGGUGACCAAGCUGGAUUCUGCCCGGGCAGCAACGUUGUUCCGGAUCGUCGAGGGAUACACGGGGGUCACACACACACUCAGGUUUACACCCACAACUCUAGUUUUAAGGACGCCAACUAGGUUUAGUUCGCCAAUAUAGAUGUAAGUACGCUAAAA
rnacentral:lncRNA from 1 species